CCUACGGGAGGCAGCAGUGAGGAAUAUUGGUCAAUGGGCGGGAGCCUGAACCAGCCAAGUCGCGUGAAGGAAGAAGGUACUUAGUAUUGUAAACUUCUUUUGUCGGGGAACAAAGGCGGAGACGCGUCGCCUUAUGAGUGUACCCGAAGAAAAAGCAUCGGCUAACUCCGUGCCAGCAGCCGCGGUAAUACGGAGGAUGCGAGCGUUAUCCGGAUUUAUUGGGUUUAAAGGGUGCGUAGGCGGAGCGUUAAGUCAGUGGUAAAAUUGAGGGGCUCAACCCCUUCGAGCCAUUGAAACUGGGGUUCUUGAGUGAACGAGAAGUAUGCGGAAUGCGUGGUGUAGCGGUGAAAUGCAUAGAUAUCACGCAGAACCCCGAUUGCGAAGGCAGCAUGCCGGCUUUCUACUGACGCUGAUGCACGAAAGCGUGGGGAUCGAACAGGAUUAGAUACCCUUGUAGUC
rnacentral:rRNA from 1 species